rnacentral:rRNA from 1 species
CACGUAGGGCGCAAGCGUUGUCCGGAAUUAUUGGGCGUAAAGAGCUCGUAGGCGGUCUGUUGCGUCCGCUGUGAAAUCUCGGGGCUUAACCCCGAGCCUGCAGUGGAUACGGGCAGACUAGAGGUAGGUAGGGGAGAAUGGAAUUCCCGGUGUAGCGGUGAAAUGCGCAGAUAUCAGGAAGAACACCCGUGGCUAAGGCGGCUCUCUAGUACGGUACUGACGCUGAGACGCGAAAGCGUGGGGAGCGAACAGG